UUGAAUAGCCACACUCAGCUAUCCUGGUGAAAUCCUAAGCAGUUUCCCAAGCAUCUAGGCUUUUAAAGAAAAAUGCUUUCAAAAUGAUAUUUAAAGUAUAAUUAUAUAAUUCUUAUAACUCAAUACUGUAAUGGAAACAUUAACUCAUUAGAAACCCACCAUAGUAUUAGUCUGUAAGUCCACAGUUUUGUAAAAUUGUCUCCGUAGCCCACUCGUGUACAUGAAUUGCUCUAAAGCACGUGAUUCCCACCUGGAAAUCCAAAUAAACAAUUACUUCUCUAAUCCCAUUUCCACCAAGAAAGCUAUGCAAGGCUCAGGUGUGAGCAGUUUGUAAUCAUUAACAAUGCCACUUCUUUCCUGGAGAACAUGGGCUGCACUGUUAUCGUCAGGACACUUCUGCACCUGGAUACAAUCAGUUCACAGGUGAAGUGUGUUUAAAGCUGAGCCUGAAAGGGAGAUGGGGAAAGGGUUAGAGUUGUAGUAGAUUUUCUAGUAGCAACGGAGGCAAAUCAAGAGGAGAAAAGAAAAUAACAUGCCUGAGAAAAUGAAAGUAUCGAGAUGCAAGUAUCUAAGUACAGAGUCACAAUGUUUAUGUAGUUGACGCUGUGAUGGAAUCUCUUCUCCAUAAGCAAAGAUCUUCACAUUCAACUCCAUAGUCCUGAUAUCCUCAGAUGGAGGUCAUUUUUGAGGUGUCUUCUGCUGCUAAACUAUUACUUCAAUUGCACUUUUGUGAUGUCUGAAACUGUGCUAACCUACAGGGAUUACAUGGUGAAUCUUUCUUUCCUAAAGAACCAUAAGCAACAGCCAGCAACUAUGUUAGGAAUUUCAACCACUCUGGUCAAGCAGUAAACUGCGAAUUAUUUACUUAUGAAGCUUUCUCACUGGUUAUGCUGUGCUCUUCUAUCGUAUGGUCGUUUACACUCACCCUCCAGAGUGAAUCAUUGCUAGGACAGUUGCCUAAGACCAUUUUUUUUUAACUUGCUUUUUUACACUUAGUGAUAUUUGCUCAGAAAGUUGUUUAGUUCUUCCUGCAUGUGUGCUAAAAAAUAUCUUUACCACCCUUUGAGUCCUAAGAUCAGUUCGUGCCUGUAUGGUUUGACAGCUGUACAGGUGGAUUUAGAGAGUCCAUUUCCUUAUCUAUAGCAAUUUAUCAUCUGCCUCUGAAGCUUAAGGCCUAGAAAUAUUCUGUAUCCACAGGUAUACCUCACAAGCUCAUAAACACAGGGAAUAAAGUGACAUGAACUCUUAUAUUUCCUUACUCCUUGCUGGACUUGCUUGAGAGGAAACCUUUUGUAUGCUACGAAGCAAAUGGGCCGUGGAGUUCUCUUAAUUCUCCACCUACAAAUUAUGUUUCUAAUUCAUCCUCUGUUCUGCUUUGCCAGAGAGUUUCUUUUCUGUUUUCUACCAGAAGAGAUAAAUGGACCCAAAAGACUUAAAGUAUUUGAUCUUCUGAAACCUUUGAAACUGUUAAUUGACUUAAAUUGUUAUGUUAGUUAAUUGUUAAAUCCUCCAUAGGAUUUUAGGUUUAGGGUAAGGAACCAAUGUGAGAAUUGAAUUCUAAAGUCAUCGAUUCUCACACACUUCUUCAGCUGUCUUUGCUACCAUUAACAAUACUAUUGGUAUUGAUAUAAUUCUUUGAUUUCUUUUGUGAUUUUUUUCAUCUGACCUUAAGUUGUAAAUUCCUGAGUCUUUUUUUCUUCUAAAUCUUUAACUUGCUCAGGAAAUGUGCUCCUACUAAAUGUUUGCAUAGUGUUAUCCUGUAGCCCUUUCAAUACCCUCUGUGCCACAACUGAUUGUGAGUAUGCCUUGGAGGCUUGUGGUGGGUUUUUCAUUCGAUUGAAAUGCCUUUUUUUAAGGCUUGAGGCACUCAUUUCCAUGUUUGAGAUGUGAUAAACAAAACCAGUGGUUCCAUGGAGACAAACAUGCUACAACAUCCAACUCUAGCACUAAAUAAAACUCUUAAAAAUAAGUGUGCCAUGACAAAGUUACAUCAGAAAUUCUAACAUAAACGGUAUGUUGUCUAUGCCACUGUACACAUGCGCAACUUUCCUCUGGUGGUAACUGAGAAUGCUAAGGGAAUAUAUGAAUUUUCUGUCCUCUCUUACUUUGCUCAACUGAGGGAAAUGACUUGCAAAAUAAAGGAUUGUGGGAAAGGUGAAUGCUAAAACACUCUUUAAUUAGAGAGGGAAAGGAGAAACUAGUAUAUUAAGAUAGGCAAACAACUACUUAUUAUUGGAAGUUUAGUUGCCCUCCUGAGAAACCCUAACAGAAGGUGUUGUUUGCUUUGCUGUUGUUUUUUUUCCCUCAAUAAAUUCUCAUGGAGUCUAGAACGAGGUGGUACAGAAUUCAAAUCUAUGUAUUGAUUUUUGUGUGUGACUGUGAACAUUUGUUCUGCAGUUCUGCUCAAAUUGCUAAAGGAAGACCCAGCAUCAGAAUUAUCUUUUGGCAGUGCUUACUCCUCUCCAGUGAUUUCUAGCACACAUUCACCAGCUCAGUUAAAUCCCUGAAGUCAGGUGUAUUCAUGCCCUAAGUGAAAGUGAACUGAAUGUUGGAAACAGUAAGAGCUCUCUGUUUCACUGGACUGUAUAUAUUGCUUUGUAGAUGACUAAUGUUCUAUAACAAUGGAAGUACAUAAGAUUUUCCUAUAAAUUAUCUCAUUGUAGAAUAUUCUAAAUACCUCGUGUGUUUAUGCACACUCAUAUUUAAUUAAAUAUAAAUGGAAACGUAUUCCACAGUUGUGUGAACUAAAUCCAUAGUAAUUCAUACACAUGGUGCUUCAGGUUUCCAUAAUCUAAAGAUUAAAAGAAAUUGCCUCAGUUUGGCCUAGUGUGCUCCUUGGUGUAUUAGAGGCUUCACCUUGGC